CAAUUGAGUUUGAAUCACAAACCAAAGAUCCGAAUGACUGGGAUUUCUUCAAUCCCAACCCAGCCACGUGCAUGUUCUGUUGUGUGGUCUGAGAGUUCAAUCCCAAAUGUGAAAAAGAGAGACACUUGGGACAAGGGAUGGUGAAAGACGCCAUUUUGAACAAACCCCACAAAUCAAAAACCAAUUUUUUUUAGCUGCUGAGCUCAAAUGACAGUGUGAUCUAGCGAAGUGGGUGAGCGAGAAUAUAAGGAUUCUUUGUGGCAAUGAGGUCGAAGAAGGAAUGGAGAAUGGUGUGCGAGGAAAUGGAGAAAAGCUUGCAAUGAAUGAUGGAAACUACGAAGGAGGAACACUGGUUUUA
rnacentral:lncRNA from 1 species